AUAUAUAUUACAAUGGUUAGUUUGCGUGGGUACAUCGAUAUCAU
rnacentral:guide_RNA from 1 species